GAACGCUGGCGGCAGGCCUAACACAUGCAAGUCGAACGGUAACAGGAAGCAGCUUGCUGCUUUGCUGACGAGUGGCGGACGGGUGAGUAAUGUCUGGGAAACUGCCUGAUGGAGGGGGAUAACUACUGGAAACGGUAGCUAAUACCGCAUAACGUCGCAAGACCAAAGAGGGGGACCUUCGGGCCUCUUGCCAUCGGAUGUGCCCAGAUGGGAUUAGCUAGUAGGUGGGGUAACGGCUCACCUAGGCGACGAUCCCUAGCUGGUCUGAGAGGAUGACCAGCCACACUGGAACUGAGACACGGUCCAGACUCCUACGGGAGGCAGCAGUGGGGAAUAUUGCACAAUGGGCGCAAGCCUGAUGCAGCCAUGCCGCGUGUAUGAAGAAGGCCUUCGGGUUGUAAAGUACUUUCAGCGGGGAGGAAGGGAGUAAAGUUAAUACCUUUGCUCAUUGACGUUACCCGCAGAAGAAGCACCGGCUAACUCCGUGCCAGCAGCCGCGGUAAUACGGAGGGUGCAAGCGUUAAUCGGAAUUACUGGGCGUAAAGCGCACGCAGGCGGUUUGUUAAGUCAGAUGUGAAAUCCCCGGGCUCAACCUGGGAACUGCAUCUGAUACUGGCAAGCUUGAGUCUCGUAGAGGGGGGUAGAAUUCCAGGUGUAGCGGUGAAAUGCGUAGAGAUCUGGAGGAAUACCGGUGGCGAAGGCGGCCCCCUGGACGAAGACUGACGCUCAGGUGCGAAAGCGUGGGGAGCAAACAGGAUUAGAUACCCUGGUAGUCCACGCCGUAAACGAUGUCGACUUGGAGGUUGUGCCCUUGAGGCGUGGCUUCCGGAGCUAACGCGUUAAGUCGACCGCCUGGGGAGUACGGCCGCAAGGUUAAAACUCAAAUGAAUUGACGGGGGCCCGCACAAGCGGUGGAGCAUGUGGUUUAAUUCGAUGCAACGCGAAGAACCUUACCUGGUCUUGACAUCCACAGAACUUUCCAGAGAUGGAUUGGUGCCUUCGGGAACUGUGAGACAGGUGCUGCAUGGCUGUCGUCAGCUCGUGUUGUGAAAUGUUGGGUUAAGUCCCGCAACGAGCGCAACCCUUAUCCUUUGUUGCCAGCGGUCCGGCCGGGAACUCAAAGGAGACUGCCAGUGAUAAACUGGAGGAAGGUGGGGAUGACGUCAAGUCAUCAUGGCCCUUACGACCAGGGCUACACACGUGCUACAAUGGCGCAUACAAAGAGAAGCGACCUCGCGAGAGCAAGCGGACCUCAUAAAGUGCGUCGUAGUCCGGAUUGGAGUCUGCAACUCGACUCCAUGAAGUCGGAAUCGCUAGUAAUCGUGGAUCAGAAUGCCACGGUGAAUACGUUCCCGGGCCUUGUACACACCGCCCGUCACACCAUGGGAGUGGGUUGCAAAAGAAGUAGGUAGCUUAACCUUCGGGAGGGCGCUUACCACUUUGUGAUUCAUGACUGGGGUGAAGUCGUAACAAGGUAACCGUAGGGGAACCUGCGGUUGGAUCACCUCCUUACCUUAAAGAA
rnacentral:rRNA from 1 species